AUGUUUGGGACUGAUUUAUGUCCCAAUAAUCUAUGUCAAUUUUAUUCUUGGUGCUAUGCUUUUCUUCCCCAAGGGGAAUGGUGCUUCACUAUGGGGCUGGCGGCUAUAUGUUGGGCCAUUUGGAAUCGUAGAAACCAGGCUACCUUUGAAUUCAAGAAAAUGCCGUCUCCUUUCGAGAUUGUCUUCAACGCUUGUAUGCACUUAUCUUAUUGGGCAGGUCUCCUGAAGGGCGAAAGGCGAGUGGAGCUGGAGCGUGGUGCGAUGAUUCUGAAGGAGAAUGCUAAAGAGAUGAUGAGAAUCUGUGCGACUGCACAUGCGGGCGAUGCCGUGGAGUGA
rnacentral:rRNA from 1 species